rnacentral:rRNA from 1 species
GACGAACGCUGGCGGCGUGUUUAACACAUGCAAGUCGAACGGAAAGGCCUCUUUCGGGGGGUACUCGAGUGGCGAACGGGUGAGUAACACGUGAGUAACCUGCCCUUGACUUUGGGAUAACUUCAGGAAACUGGGGCUAAUACCGGAUAGGAGCUCCUGCUGCAUGGUGGGGGUUGGAAAGUUUCGGCGGUUGGGGAUGGACUCGCGGCUUAUCAGCUUGUUGGUGGGGUAGUGGCUUACCAAGGCUUUGACGGGUAGCCGGCCUGAGAGGGUGACCGGCCACAUUGGGACUGAGAUACGGCCCAGACUCCUACGGGAGGCAGCAGUGGGGAAUAUUGCACAAUGGGUGGAAGCCUGAUGCAGCAACGCCGUGGGCGGGAUGACGGCCUUCGGGUUGUAAACCGCUUUCGCUCAUGACGAAGCUUUGUGUGACGGUAGUGGGUAAAGAAGCACCGGCUAACUACGUG